rnacentral:lncRNA from 1 species
GAACAAGAAUGUCAGUUACAGGAAAAAAUGCAAAAGCAUGAAGCUAAAAAGGAAGCAGAGAUAGAACAACUUAAAGUUGCACUUAGCCAAGAAUUGAUGGGGGAAGUUGCUAGAAUGAUCGCGCCUUAUCGUCAGGCUUUACUGCAAGAGGUAACCAGAAUAUAAUUUGUGCAUGUUGAUUUAUAUUGUGUUCUAAAUUUUCAUAAUGUCACUAAUGUCUAGCCUCCCCUCUUUUAAAAUCCGCAGCGUACCCCAGCAAACAACAAUAAUACAACUGAAGUUGAUGCUAGGACCACCGAGGAUAACAUUGAUGCAAGGCCAGUACUGGACAGCCAAGAAAUAAGGAACCAUGUAUCGACAAUAAUUGGUUGUGAUUGAAAAUAUAUAUACAUAUGUCGCUAAUCUCUUGCCUACCCGCUUUUAAAUUGUGCAGCAUACCCCUCAAACCAACAAUAAAACAACUGAUGAUGAAGCUGGGAGCACUGAGGAAAACCUUGCUGCAACACAAGUAGUGCAUAGUCAAGAAACAUCAAACCAGGUAACAAUAUCGAACAAGCAUUCCAAUCAUGAUGGUUUUUUGCAUUAAAUUUCAGCUAAAAUUGUUCCAAAAACUUUAUUAUGAUCCAGAAUGCUCCAAGAACGAUUGUCACAACUGAAAAAAGCACUUUGGCACCAACCAGAAAUGCUAAAACUGCCAACGUUGCAAAGAGUCUGUUCAAUGAGAAUCACGGUAAAGGUGUAGGAGCUGUUGCAGGAUCCAGAUUCAUUAGUACACAUCAGCUUAUAUCUGGUGCUAAAACUCGAGCAGGCAAAAAGAAAGUACAACAAGUACAAACUGGAAGUGUGCUUUCAAUAUUGCUGCAUAUUGAUUCCAAGACAAAGUAGCUUCAUAAGUUUUAAUUCACUUGUUUGUUUCUCUUUGCUUCAGCAGGCUAGUGAAGCUACGGAGGGGCAAUAAGACUCAAGGUUGCCUACAGGUUACAAGCAGAACUUCAAGCAAAGUUGAUCAUCAUGAAUGCUGGGAGUGAUCAAGAUUAUAGAUGUGUACGAAUAAUAUAGGUGUUCUACAUACUUUAUUAUUGGGAGUCAUGUGGAUGAAUGGACAAGAAUAUUUUCCGUUGUAUUAAAAAAUAUGACGACGACAUAUUUCCCGUUGCAAUAUCCAUUGAGCGUAUAACCACGACCCGUAUUGUGUUGCACUAUCCUGUACGCAUAUAACCACGACAUAUUUUGAUGCGAUAUGGUUGAUGCAUAUAACGACGGCACAUACCUCGUUGUGAUACCUCGUGAGCAUAUUACAACGCUUUCUCAUCAUUGCGAUAUCCAUUGAGCGUAUAACCAUGACCCGUAUUGUGUUGCAAUAUCCUGUAUGCAUAUAACCAUGAUAUAUUUUGUUGCGAUAUGGUUGAAGCAUAUAACGACAGCACAUACCUCGUUGCGAUACCUUGUAAGCAUAUUACAAUGCUUUCUCGUCGUUGCGAUAUAAUUUAAGCAUAUAACGAUGACCCAUAUUUCGUUGCGAUACCCUUUAAGCAUGUUGCAAUGCCAUAUUUUGUUGGAAUAUGGUUGACGCAUAUAGCCAUGACUAGUAUUUCGUUGAGAUAUCCUCUUAGCAUAUUGCAAUAGGAUAAGUCUUGUAUUGCAACAACAUUCUUGUGUUGCAUUAACGCUUGUUUGCAACAGCGCAAUGUCAUUGCAACAGCCACUAUAGCAACGACGCCUGCCGUUGCAAUUAACAAAAUUGCAACGACAAUGGACGUUGUAAUAUCCACUUAUUACUACGACACACAUCGUUGCAACAACUCACCCUUAUGCCCAAGGCUUCCUGUGUCAUUGUAAUACCCUAUUACAACGCAAGUUUACGCAACGACAUGAAUUUUAAGGCAACGACACAAAAUUAUCGCAAUAGCUCGCUAUUGCAAUGAAAUGACCCCUAUUGCAAUGAUUUCGUGCUGUGGUGCUAGUGACAAGACCUUGUAGUGAAUGAUUUGGCUGCUAGCGUCACUUGACCUACCCAACUCCCUCCGGGUUGGACGGUUGAGUGGGAUUCCUCCUCAGACGGCGAGGAUAGGGGUCAUUGAUGUCAUGAUCGGCUUCGUCAUGAUAUCGUGUAUCGACGUUUAGUUUCCGCAUGUUUUACUUCUUUGUUGUUUGAAACCGUGCAAACUCUGAUCUAAUAAAUUAUUGAUCUUUCUAUAAUAUGAACGGAAUGUUUUAAUCUCUGUAAGCACUAACCUUUGUGUGAGCAAUGCUUAUCGAUCCUGUAUAUGUGGUUUAUCAGAGGAAAUCCAACGGUCGACUAAGUUGACUUGUUUAAGGUGCUUGAUCGCGUGUUAGGUGACUUAAGUGCACUUUAGCCAGGUUAAUUUUAGGCCAUUCCGCCACAACAUGGAUACUUUUUCCUCUUGGUUGCAUCAACACCUUAUAGGUAACUCUGAGAUUCACCCACAGCUCGCUUGGUUAGCUAAGGGACCUUCUAGCAGAAUCGUGAAAUUCCAAGGCUACAAGAUAAAUGAUUAUACAUUUUACACGAGAGCCCAAGACCAAAAAAGCACGAACCAAAAUAGUGGUGUCCGCAUAGAUGUCAUUCACAGCACCGGUAGCAAGGACUCCUAUUAUGGUUUCAUAGAGGAGAUAUGGGAACUCGAAUACAGACCGCUGAACAUCCCUCUGUUUUGUUGCUAAUGGGUGAAGCUAACUGGCGUAACCAAAGAUCAGCAUGGAAUGACAAUAGUGGACCUGACCAAGACUGGAUACAAUGAUGAACCAUUCAUACUUGCCAAUGAUGUGCAUCAAAUUUUCUAUGUGAAGGACAUGUCUAGCAAACCAAAAAAAAUUCAGAAGAGCCAUGGAAGCCAAAGCGCCACAUAGUGCUUCUAGGUAAGAGAAAAAUCAUGGGAGUCAAAGAACAAAAUAGAGCAAUCAGAUCAUUAUGAUUAGUUUGAUGGCAUGCCUCCAUUCUCUAUUGAAGUUGACCCAAGCAUCAUGCCAAAGAAGAGGCUCCGUACUUACGCCAUGAUCAUGACCAAGGAACUUUCAUGAAGAAGUUUCUUAACGUUACAUUGUAAUGCACUAAAUAUGCUUCACCUUUAUGUAAAGUUACAUUGUAAAGUUCUAUGAUUUCAUGUACUACUUGAUACAAUUUUUAAUUUAAUGUAUCUAUGAUUUCAUGUGUGUUUAAAUUAGGUGAGGUGAAGAAUUAUUCAAGAUAUGUUUUUUGAUAUAUUUUUGCAUGUUUGAAAAAUAUAAAGUUUUUAUGUUUUUCUAUAACAAAGCCAGUUCAAAACAUAUAUUAAUUUGUAUGUUUAAAUUAGUUGAGGUAAAGAUUUAUUCGAUCAAUAUGAACAAUGUUAACCACAUACAUCAAUUGAAUUUUUCACACGUUGAAAUUAUUUAAUUGAAUAAUUUCUUGAUGAUAGUGAUGUAGUAAAAUAAUUAUUUUAUAAACUAAAAGAACUAGUAUAGAAUUAAUGACUCAUUCAAACUUAUUGUUAAUAUACUUGCUAAUUUAAUAUAGUUUUGCAUGUUCCAAAUAUAUAAAGUUCUUAUUUUUUCCUUCCUAAAAUCCAGUGAAAACAUAUAUAAAAUCUAUUUGCAAAAAACAGGCGAGAACUGAAAAAUGGAAAACGAAUCUUUUGUCCUAGAUGCAAAUUGCAUCUAGGACAAAAUGUCCCCCCUUUAGGCCCGGUUGCAAUUUGCAACUAGGAUAAAAGGGUAAUUUUCGCCUCCCACGCGAACGUACCCUUUUGUCCUGGUUGUAAAUUGCAACCGGGACUAAAGGGGGGGCCUUUUGUCCGGUUGCAAUUGGCACCCAGGACAAAAGGACCCUUUAGUCCAGGUUGCAAUUUGCAACCGGGAUAAAAAGGGUCGUAAAAGUAACAUUCAUCUUCUCCCCCCUCCACCCUUCAACACUUAGCGAAAUUUUCACCACUCUCCAAGAUCUACCGCGCCCGUCCGCCUCUGAUGCCGCCAGUCUCUCAUCCCCGCCCGUCCGCCUCCAUCGCCGGCCGCCGUGCUACUCAUCACCCGCCUCCAUCCCACCGUCGCCCAGCGCCUCGGCCGCUGUCGCCUGCGCCACGACUGCCGCCUCCUCCAUCGCCCGACCCGCCACCGCCUCCUCCGUCGCACCCUCUCGUCGCCGCCGCCUCCGGUGCGCCCCCUCAUUGUCACCUCCCUCUGCGCCGCCUCUGUGGUGAAACCGCCCAACUUAAGCUGGUUUAAGUGCACCUAAUCGCUGUCGGGACAACAAUUAUUCGAAACACACCUAAAACAGCAUAAGUCCAGUAGUCCGUCGAGUGUCCCUAGGACUCCUCGAAAGAUCCACGACGUGUCUCAUAGCCAUACACCAGGAUCGCUUCCUCGAUGGGAAGGCAUCAACAAACAUUACAUUUUUACAUACAUACCGGGGUACGAAUUAUUACAUACCAUAGUUUGAAACAAACUUCAUAGUGCAGGUUAGCGCGGUUCUAAGAGUUCAAAACAUGAACCAGUCUAGGUGAAAGAUAAACAUUUAAGUUUUAUUUCUAGGGUAUUUCGAGACUCGUAAAAUACCCUAGUUCUUCGGAGCUUCUUCCUCAGCGGACUCCUGUUGUGGCUCUGAAAUAGCAACGAGGGAUAACCCUGAGUAUAGGGUACUCAGCAAGACUAACCCGACUAACCAAUAUAAUAGCUUUUCUGGAAUUGCAUGAAAGCCUUUCAGUGUACUGGCUGACUCAUAGUUUUGCCAAAAGAGCUUACUAAAGUGAAACCUUAACUUUGUCUUUUACUUCAAUUGAGUUAUUACCUAUCCAAUCUAGAUAAUGAAAAAGAAAUACUUUUGCAAACAGUAGGAAAUUAAGUCAUACAACAAAUUAAUUGGAAAGACAUUGCAUUCAUGAGAUUACACUACGAUGCUUAACAGCGAUCUAGUGCAUUCAUAACCGAGAAUUGUGGCGAUCCGGAUCAAUUACAUCCUGUAGGAGAGCACCCUGAUCACCAGCUAUGUACAACUGUCCGGGUCGUACAUAACGACCUUUCGAUUAGCAUACCCAAAGAUUGGGAAUAAGACUACCCGAACCCAGGGAUGCACCCCCACAUGGGACCCCCUGUCUGGCCCGAUCUCCAUGUGAGUUUUUAGGCUAUGCCCCUGCCAAUCUCCAGCACGUCAAGCACGGGUACGAAAUAUUCCGGAUCAGAGAGUUUACUAAACUACCGGGCUUUACUGGUCCCAUACCCAGUAAGCAACCAGGUGACAUUCACUUGAUCAAAGGUUAAGACAACGAUCGGGCCUUAACCAAAUUAAUCUAGCAGACAGAACUAACAUCUCUAGCUUCUAUCGGAUUUCCAAAUUUCCAAGCUAACUUUCCAUAUCUAGCAUGUAUGACCCAACAAUUUACCUUAAGGUUCGGUAACCAAGUUACUUUCAGUAUCUAAGCAUUGCUAAAGCAUGGGUUAAUUACUAAUUAUUGAACAAGUGGCAAAGAUGUCCUUAAAACAAGGCAGGAUCAUGCACAAGAAUAGGUUUCAAUCAACUCCUAGACUUAAUGCAUUGAUAAAAGAAAUAACCAAUAAUUGAACACAUGAAAUAAUAACUCCAAAACAGAUAGGUAUAGAUGCACCGGGGUUUGCCUGGGAUCAACAAAUGUUAGUUCUUCGGAAAACCCCUUUAGUAAAAGAGGCACUUCAACAUUUCUCGGACUCUGUCAAUCUUCAGAUGAAUUCCACGAAUUCCACUUCAGAAGCUUCGAUGUCUAUGAUUUAGUACAUGCAGGAGUUAGAGACGCAAACUUUUGAAUACAUGACUAUACAACUUUCCUUCAUGAUAAAGUUGCAAGCCAACAAGUGACUAUACAACCUAUCUUCACAAUAAAGUUGCAAGCCAACACUAAUCUACCCAUAACAUCUAACCCACGAUUUUUUAAUCUCUUAACUAACCUGCCUUAAGCCCUUUCUUUUAUUUUAGAAAAGCAUUACAAAUAUUUUCUAAUCUCAAAAGUUAUUUCCUAUGAUUUAAUAAUAAUUUGUGAAUAAGAAAACAUUAUUCAAUAUUUUAUGCAUUUAAUAAAGGUUAAGCAUUUAUUUAAAUACCUUAAUGAAAAGGCAUUAAAUAAAUACCUAAAUUUUAUUAUUUUUCCUAGGGUAUAAAAAUUUGAAUGCAUAAAGGAAAAUAAAAUAAUCCUAACAAAAUUGGUCUCACUAAUUUUGGACACUCCUAGAAAUUUCUGUGAUUUAAACGGUGUAAACCGAAUUUUAAUGUUCUUUAUCUAUAAAAGGAAAACCUAAUGUUUAUCCAAAUAACCCCGGCCUAACCUUUCUCACUCGUACUAGGCCCGUUAAGCUGGCCCACCUACUCCCGGUCUCUACCUUAUUCUACUCGCCGGCCCAACGAGCGCCCAAACUCUAACGAGCCUCCUUACGACCGGCCUGCUCUCCGCACAGGCCAACAGCCCAACUUCCUCCUCCCUACCCAUGCCUGACGCAAGGGCCUUUUUUUUUUGGGGCCAGCCCACCCCGUUUCUUUCCCCCUUCACUUCCACCUGGGCCUCCAACCGACAAGCCCCUCUCCUCCUCUCAACUCCCCUGGCGCAUAGGCCAGAACAGGGGCGCGACAGGCAGGGGGCGGGGCUCGCCGACGGUGCCUCCCCGGCGGCGUGGCCGGGCUGGGGGCAUCCUGAAACCGGGGCGCACCCACGGGCGGUGGCGGCCCUCCAGGAGGCGGCCUGUGCCGAGCCCUCCACGGUGGCGGCGGCAAAGGCCGGCUGCCGGCCGGCGCAAAGCCCGACGGUGGCGCAAAAACGGCCUUCGGUGCCCCCCCCUAUGGACCCUAUUCGACUCAGCAAGCUCUGCAACCCAAGGAAUCGAGCAAAAGGGGCAUCACAGAGAGGCUCACCAAAGAACUAUGGUGGCGGCUGGCGGAUUAAAAUGGUGGCGAUUCGGAGCUUUGACGAUGAGGAAACAGAAAUCGGAGGGGCGUGGGCGUUGCGGUGGGGCUAGCGAAGCGUCUGGCGGGCGGAUUCGCGAAGAGAAGUGACGGAGCGAGGGUGUUGGCCAGCGGCGGCGUUGCUUUCCCGAGCUUUGGCUCGCAUGGCAGUAGAAAUGGCAAAGGGUUAAAUGGGAUGAGGGUGAGGUGGUAAAGAUACAUAACUUUUACCGUGCAUGUGUGCCACCUCGAUGACCUGCAGGCCUGCGUGGGCGCGGACGUGGUUGUUGCGCUGGUCGACGAGCAGAGGUGCCGGCGGCGGCACGGCUCUGUCCCCUAUUUCUUCUUUCUCUUCUUCGAAAUUCAGACCUCCACAUCGACCAAUUUCAAAUCCAAUCUCUCGAAGAUCCCUUCAGCAGUCUUGUAGAGUAAUCCAUGUACUUCAAUUGAUAGAUUGGCCGCUACCUGAAAUGAGCACCCUAACACCGAGAUUUUGAAGCUCAAAGUUUGACCAGAACCUUCUGUAACUGAACCUCGGUCAUUCAGUCUCGUCAAGGUCCAAAAUAGCAACUUCUUCCCUACUUUGAGCUCAAUUUAAAUUGCUUAAACUCCUUCCAUACAGCUUGAACCUUGCCUAUCCUUGUUCUACUACUGUUGGUGCUAGAAAUCGGCUGAUCGAAUUCCCAGCGUCGGACACACGACCCGGGAGAAUCUGCUUAGCUCCUGUUCGAGUGAUCACCCUGGUGCGGUUCGUGCAGCGUGCCAGCCAAUCUGACCUGUUGAUUGGCAAGGAAAGAAACGUGUCAGAUCCCAGAGGUUGCGAUCGGCUAAGGUUCCGAUCUCGAGAUAGCUUAUCAGUGAAUCGGCCGAUUUGCUGUAAUAAGGAAAUCGGCUAUAAUGCAGCCGAUUACCGGGCAGCGUUAAUAAAGAAGACUGCUGGAGUAAUCUAAACAAUGCUUAUAGUAACAACACUAGGAAUAGAUCUAAAUCGGCUAUGCGUAAAAUAAUAGAUUGAAUAACAAGGCACAGGAAAGCCGAAAGUUCCAAUUCCUAGCUGGAUAACUGGUGAUAAAACUAGAACUACAGGUAAAACCUAGAAUUCUAGUGGAUAUCGAUAACUGGUGAAUAAAUCUAAAUGAAACGACAGCGAUGCGCCCGAAGUUAAAGCUUAGAUAUUACUCGGUAAACGAAACUUACAGAAUCAGCCGGAGGUCAAGUUGAUGCAGCCUAGCCAACUCGUAUGAACUCGUGAAAAAGAAGAAAAGUAUUGGCGAAAUCGCCUGCUUGAAAGUAAGUGUGAGGAAAUAGUAGUUUGUUGUAUUGAUUUGAUGAUGAUUACAGAUCUACAAGGGUGGCUAUUUAUAGCCUGUUACAAAUGACUUCUUAACCGACUAGAACUCUAUCUCUAAUUUUAAACAAAAAAUGAAUAUUUACAAGUACGACUCGUACUGGGUCAAUCAUCAUGCUGUCAUGGGCUGACUCCCUUUUUACCUUCAUAAUCCACUUCAAGCCCACACCGGCCCAAUUCCUCCAGCCUCCUAAUCGGCCGAUUUCUACCAACUCCAUCGGCAAGGGACAGCCGAUUACGGCCCACAUGUCGGGGGUUCUGACUACUCCGACCCUGGGACCUAAGGUCGGGCGAGGUGGAGUCCCUCCCUUAGAGGGUCGGGCGCAUCCGACCCCAGGACUCAGGGGUCGGGCGAGGCGGAGUUGCACCCUUAAAGGGCAAUUGGCCAAUCCUUGACUGUAGCACCAAUCGGCCGAUUUCCAACCGUGACCUCUGUGUCUUGCCGCAUCUCCUGAGUUCUUCCUUUCCUGACGCCGAUUUCAUACGUGUCAAAAUAUGGCGUCAACAACUACUAACAAAGAUUCCAUUUUGCGCAUGAACUCAUAUACCUUUUACAUUGGAUUUUUCUUAAAUUUGCUCCAAACAUUGCUAAUCAAUGCCGUUUUUCAGACAACAUUAUUUCGGCAAGAAGCCUGAAAUCUGUGCAUUUGCUGAAUUUUGGGCUUCGCUUUAAAUUCGAACCUUCCACUUUCUCUGGCCAACAACAUUUCAUUUACCUUCUCUAUAGUCCAUAUUUCACUAAUGUCCAAAAACAUCUGCUCACUUACAAGAACAAUUCUCCAGAAAUUGGCUCCAAAGUUGUGUACUCAAUAUUAAUUUCAGAGUUACGCGUUUUCGGAUGACUAAGUGACUUUGUUGAUUCCAUAUUCGAUUGUAUUUAUGAGAGCUUUAUAACUUGAUUUAGACUUCAGAUUCAUUCCUUUGAGUUCUGAAUACUCUCAAGACUCUAUUUCCUAUUUUUGCCAAAUUUAUCCAAAUUUGAAACUCCAAAUUGCAAAUUUGGUUGAACUCGGCUCAAAUUCGAUUUUGGCUCAAAUUACCUUCCUUUAAUCCAACUUCACCAUUAGCUUCUUAAUGUGAUACUUAAGUUGUCAUUAACACUGGGUGUUACAGCCUCCUUGUCGCCCACCUCCGUCCCCGCCGCCUCCGUGCCCGCCAUCGCCCGCCGCUCUAGCCGCCGUUGCCUGCCGCCCUGGCCUACCGCCACCUCCUCCGUCGCGCCCCCUCAUUGCCACCUCCCUCUGCGCUGCCUCCUCAUCGCCGCCUCUCCAUCGCCACCUCCGUCGUCUGUGCCAGCUCCGACCCCGCUGCCACCGGCAUGCGCCGCCCCGACCUCCUCGUCUUCUGCAUUGCCACUCCAUCGCCCCGUCCGCCGUAGCUCGCCGCCAAGCCUCUGCCACCUGCCACCCCGGUGACGUGCGGCGCCACCCCCAUCGCGACCCCCGGCCCUCUCCACACGUACAAUGGGGCCCUUGCUGACGCUAGGGCCCUUUUUUAUUUUUUUAGUUAGAAAAUCAGUAUGAUUAGUACAAAAUCAGUAGGAAAUUACUAUUAUUAGAUGAAAAUCAGUAGGAAAUUACAAUAAUUUAGUUCAGAUGCUUAGUAUAAUUUUGUAUACAUUUUGUAUAACUUUGAGAAAUUACUACCUUUUAUUAUAAAUGAUUCGAAAAUUAGUAGAAAUUUGUAGCAAUGCUUAAGAUUUAUUCAGGAUAAGUUCUUAGUAUGAUUUUGUACACAUUUAGUAUAAUUUUUAGUACAUUAAUAUUAUUUAGUACAAAUGCUUCAAAAAUUAGUAAAAAUUAGUAGAAAUUUGGUAGAAAUUCUUAGAAAUCAGUAGAAGUUUGUAGAAAUUUGGUAGACAUUCUUAGAAAUCAUUAGAAAUUUGUAGAUACACUUCAAAUUUGGUACAAAUUCUUAGAAAUUAGUAGAAAUUUGAAGAAACACUUCAAAUUUGGUAGAAUUGCUUAAAAUUAGUAGGAAUUAGUAGAAAUUUGGUAGAAAUUCUUAGAAAUUAGUAGAAACACUUCAUGUAGGAUUCGUUCAAGACAUUUCAUGUAAGUUUCAUUCAAGACUUUCAUGUAACUUUCUUGUAAGUUUUCAUGUAAGUUUCAUUAAAGACAUUUCAUGUAUGUUUCAUUCAAGAUAUUCAUGUAAAUUUCUUGUAGGUUUUCAUGUAAGUUUCAUUAAAGACAUUUUAUGUAAGUUUCAUUCAAGACAUUCAUGUAAAUUUCUUGUAAGUUUCAUGUAAGUUUCAUUUCGUGUAUGGUUUCAUGUGUAGAUUUCAAUCAGUUUGUUUUUUUUUCAUGGUUGUUCUAUGAUUUCAUGUAUAUACCUUAACGUACAUGUAACUAUGAUUUCAUGUGUGUUUAACGUAGUUGAGAUGGCAGACGACAAGACCGCAAGCUAUCUAAUGGAGCAGAUUAUUGCUGAUGGUAGUGGCUCCAACCUUCCCGUAACGUACAUCGAUAAAGAGGGUACCUAGGCGAACAUGUUCCUCAACAUGUCUAGCGAUGGCAAUGAAGAGCCUCAGCCCUAGCAAAACCUUAUCGUGAUGGAAGGUUCCAGCGAGGUAUAUAUCAUUUCCAUUGUUUUACCCCAUCUAUAAUGUCUUAUUCAUUAUUAUUAUAUACUAAUUAACGAAUCUUGAACUGUUAGCCCUCUGGAUCGAUGAACCGUCAUAAGCCCCGAGGCCGUACAAAGGUGAUGGAUGGAGGGCUUAUCAUCAUGGAAGUCACAGAAGAGGGCAAGCCGGUUGCUCCCGAAAACAUGGCAAAAAAGUACGUGAGCCAGAUCGAGGCAAUCGUAAGGGACAACGUGCCCAUCAACAUCAUGGAAUGGAGGGGUGAAAGUACUAAUGCAUACGCGCUCUCGGAUACAGAAAAGGAAAUGUUGUGGUUAGAUGUUAAGAAACAUUUCACAUUUUCCCGAAGGAUGUAAUGAAGAUUAUGUGAAAUCGUGGAUGCUGAAGAAGAUGGCCACACAAGAAGGGCUGAUGUCCACAAUUCAAUGAGUGGUGAGGGACCACUGGGAGUCAUUUGUUGAAUACAAGACGAGCGAAACGGUGCGAACAAGGUUCGCACCAACUUUGUAAAUGCUGGCAAGAAGGAGUACCAUCAUUGUCUAGGGCGAGGUGGUUACAACACUACAAUUUCUAGAUGGCGCAAGAUGGAACAAGACCUGAUUGAUUGGGGUAUCCUACCAGCAACUCUUGAAUAUCCUGAUCGAUCGAAAAAUUGGUAUUACGCUCAUGGAGGCAACAUGAGCCAAGAGGAUGGGACACUGAUCUUCAAUGAGACAAUAUGUCAGAAGGCCAAAAGGCUUAUCAAGAACAUUGAAGAUGACACGGCUGGGAGUUGAAGGUGGACCGAGAGAAUAAUGAGCUAACAUUGGCCCAAGAAUCCCGAGCACCUAGGAUAUUGCCGAGGGUACGGGGUCAUUCUGUGGAAGUUCGCUUUUCGAGGCGACAUGUACUCAUACAGAAGCCGCAAGCGAAGAAAGGAAUAGCAAGAGGAGAGCUGGCGGCGCAUGUUAGAAUCCAAAGUGCAUUCACAUGAAGUAAGAAUGCAGGAGGAAAUCAAUCAUCGAGUGGCCCUAGCAGUUGCGAAGUUGGCCCAAUCUAGAGCACUACCGGAUCCAAACGUUAGAUGAGCAACGGUUCUUUGUGGCUGUGAUCACGCAACGCACCUCAUGUGAAUGGCAUAAACUGGUCGGCAACGUCACCAUUAAGGUAUACUUAUACAUAAUAAUUAUGCAAUCUUCUCAAUCCAUCCACGCCUCGGGAGUUUAAUAACUUCUUUAUUUCUACUAUAUGUACAAGUGGCAUACGAGAGUGCCUUACCAAUCCUGCCAGGGUAGACAAGCGAUGCCAUGGAGGUUCUACCUGGCUACGCUAGCGUCAGCCUAGAGCUGCUCGUUGAUAGCCAAUAUGAAGGCCUAGAGCUCGACCUCCCGGGAGGCGAUAGGGAAAGGACACUAGGAGAUGCGCUUCACGGGAUCAUUCUAUGGUGCAAAUGUUACAUCAUCAUCCCCGGCAUGGAGGCAUCAUUGCUCCCCGUAGAUCCCCAGCAGCGACCAUCUCCUCAAAGCUCAAGAUCGUCAUCUCCAACACGGCCUUCUCCAGGACCGUCAUCUCCACCACAACUUGCUCCAGAACCAUCAUCUCCAGCACAACCAGCUCCAGGACUGUCGUCACCACCGGGACCGUCUCUUCCUGCUCGAUCACGGUCUCCAUCUCCAGCACAUCCUAGUGGUGCGAGCGACGAUGACAAUAACACCCCUUCCCAAUCACCAUCUCCAGGACUAAGAGCUGCAUCGAGCAAGGAACCUGUAGCAACACUUAAGAAGUCGCAACCACCGCCUCCCAAGCCAAGACAGAGAAAGAAGAAAACAAACGAGCCUGAAUUGACUCCUGACAAAUGUAGGGAGGAGAAAAUGCAUGAGGAUUGCUGGCCCAAACCAAAGCAGAAUGCAGGGAGCGGUUCAAGAAAAUGGCCGAAGAAAGAAAAGCAAAGGCGAUGGAGCCACCGCCAGUAGAUUGAAGACAAUUAAAUUUUUUUAUAAAGAUGUCAGAAGAAGCCAAGAAGAUGCUGCCACCUUAAACUACGAUCGGGUGUUAGUCAAGGCUGAUGAGAGGAAAAAAUGGAAAGGAAAGUCGUCUUCAAGGGGUACUAUCCUCCACCUUAGACAUCUACCGAAAAAGACUCUCAAAAGAAAGCAUCAAUGCUAGCAAUGCCCUUGGAUCAAUAAGACCAAGUAGUGAAAUUCAUACAAGAAACAGGAAUGUCCUUUUCUGAAUGUCUAGGGCAAAGUGAGCCACCAGCUGCAUAGCCAGUUGAACCGAAAUGGACCUUUUGAGCUAGGCAAGUCUCUGGUAAGGCCUGAGUUGAUAUGGAAACUAUCAACAAAGAUGUACAAAUUCCAUGAAUGGUACAUCAAGCAGUCCAUCGUUGACAGGGAAAUAUUCGACCUUAAGGUCAAACCAAUAGCCUGGUUGACGUCUCUCUCAUCAGCGCUUGGGCUCUGCAAGUGUUCGUUUAUCUAUGUGUAAAUUUUGGCUCAUAUCAUUAUUUUUUGUGCAUGCAUCGCCCUGCUAACUUCGUCUUCCAUUUUAUGUAGGAUGCUAAUUCAGAUGUGCUGACGAGAAGUGUACUUCCAUGUUGGCUUCAUGGAUCCAUCCCUAGUUAACCAACACAAGAUAUGGGAUUUUCCAGAGAAAACGUUGAUGGAAGUAUACAAUUUCCUGGACAAACAAAAUUACAGCAAGGAAUACAUCCUACUUCUAUACAACUUCAAGUAAGUGUGUGUAUACCAUCUAUUUUUAUUUUCUUUUUCCUUACCUGAUUAAUGUUAGUUAGCUCUAAUAUGAACAAUUACGUACGCAGUUUCCACUGGAUCCUCCUAAUAAUUGAGCCUGAUAGAAGCCACAUCACUGUCUUCGAUUCAUUGAGGAAACCACCGAAGGAGUACCAAGAUGUUCAAGACAUGCUAAACUUAAUAAUUCUGGACUUUAUCUCUGUGCAAAAGUUUGUUUCCUAAAUUUUCACCUAACACUGUAUCAUUCAUUAACACAAAGGUCCAUUCAAAGAAAAACUUACAUGGAACACAAACUUCCUGGCAUGUAUGAAGUUUGCAUAUUUUGUACAUUAUAUAGCAUGAAUAUUUCAUAACUUGUUUUUCCCCACUGUAGUGCUUAAGACAGGAACUCAAAAAUAAUCUAUGUGGCUACUAUGUCUGUGAGCACAUGCAUAGUUUUUUGGGACACAAGGUACUAAAGAUGACGCCGCACAACUAUAACGUACGUAAAAGAAAACUAUUAAUAGUUAAAUAUUUUCUAGCUCCUUAUAUUUAAUUGUUCGUGUAACAUUCACAUAUUUCCAGAUUACAGAUGCAUAAUAUUCAACAAAAACUCUUGGAGAAGGAAAGAAUAAUGGCAAUAUAUGAAGGUCUCAUGGGAUUCCUGGUGGACGAGGGGGUACAUCAACAAGGAGAAUUUUAUUACAAUGGACGAAAAUUAGACGCACUGAGCAACACCACGACGGGAAGAUCCAAGGAAUGACUGAGGCAAAUUUUUGUAUAUAUAUAUAUACUAAUUGUAUAAAUACUAUGCUAAGAUUUGUAUAGUAUGCUAAGAAUUGUAUAUAUACUAAGAAUUGUAUAUAUAGUAAUUGUAUAAAUACUAGUUUGAUUUCAUAAUAAAAAAAGUCUUAACUAAACUAAAGGGUACGUGAUGCAUGAAAUUACAGGUGCCUGCCUGCAUGGCGCCUGUAAUUUCAUGCAUGCACUUUAGUCCCGGUAGAAAAAACCAACCGGGACUAAAGGGAGCACCCUUUACUCCCGGUUGGUAAAACCAAUGAGGACUAAAGGGGCCUGUCCCGCGCCUGGCGUGGCAGCCCCUUUAGUCCUGGUUGGUUUUACCAACCAGGAUUAAAGGGUGUCUUUAGUCCCAGUUGAGUGACCCGAGACUAAAGACCCCCCAUUCGUCUUGAUUGCUUUAUCCCGGAUGGAUUUUCGGGAAAUUUUAUCCCUACCAACCAGGACUAAAGGUGAGUUUUCUACCGGUGCCUGUUCUAUCUCACUCAUUUGUCCUGUAGCUACAAGCUAAGGCCCCAUGUCAUCUAUGGCUUCUGUCCUGUAGCUACUAGCUAAGCCCCCGUAUCAUCCAUGGCUUCUGGUGCCUCCACCACACUGAAGAUGGCCUCUAUCGCCCCUUGCAUCCUGCUGGUCCUGCUGUCCAAUGGCCACCCUACGAUGGUGGCCGUUGAUUGUGUUGCGGUUUGCAAAGACCCGUGCCAGAGCUUUUCUAACGGGUUCUGCGCGGGUGGAGCCACUGGCGGUUGCACAACUACGGCAGCAGCUACAGCAUGCCGCAAUUUGGCGUUCUCGCAGUGUGCGAACAACUGCUUCAUAGUUUGCACUGCCGAGAUCAUCACGCCUUGCACUUGAAGAUGCAUUUGUGUUCCUACUUCCAUGUUAUUGUUACUGCAGAAUAAUAUGGAUAAAUACGUGCAAGCAGGCCUGCCGUCCGCGGGAGGAGGUACGCAAGCACGCAUGAUGAGCCACUGUUGUUUUUCCAUUUUAUCAUUUACUUAUUGAAGGCAAUGUACGUGCCUAUCUCCUGUGUGGUUGAGCAUGUCAUGUUGGAAUUCUGUCCAAAGUUUUACAUACCAUCUUGUAUUGUUGUGUAUGCGUAUCAAUAUAAUUUAUGAACUAUUUUCCUUUACCAUAGACAUUUCUAUGUUUAUUUGCAAGCACUACUAGAGAACUGACUUUAGAUCCCACCCCCUUUAGUCUCGGUUUAAUUUCGGACCAGGAGAAAACGGGGUGCGCCACGGUAGGCUAGAAUGGGGUGCACCUUUACUCUCUAUUCUUUUUUUGCAACCGGGACUACAGGCCACCCUUUAGUCUCAGUUAAAACGGCUAGUUAUUGGGCACCGACGGCGUCACCCUUUACCCCCGGUUGGAGCCACCAACUAGGACAAAAGAUCCAACCUUUUGUCCCGGUUGGAAAAUCCAACCGGGAUAACAGGUUUACUCCCAGUUGGUAAUUCCAACCGGGACAAAAGGUUGGAGCUUUUGUCCCGGUUGGUGUUACGAACCGGGAGUAAACACCAACCGGGAGUAAAGCUCUAAUCUUUUGUUCCAGUUGGAUUUACCAACCGGGGUAAAAUCUUAUCUACAAGAGGCCUUUCUUCCUCCUCCACUCCUCCAGCCCGAGCCACUCCACUCCACAAAGACAGAGAACCUCAUCCUCUCCAUGGCGCCGAAGCAAGCCUAGGGGAGGUGCUGCUGAAAUUUUUUUUCCUUAUUUCCGUGGGGAUUUCAUUCAUCCAAAGUGUUGUGAAGGUUAGCUACUUCAUGCUCCGUUCAUUUAUUGUUGUUAAGCUUUGUUUUAUACUUUAAAGAGGGAGAAAAAUGAGUUUGUUUAUUGUUAAGCAUGUAGAGGAUUUGUAUUUAUACAUGUUUUUGAGCUACAAUGUGAUGGAUAGUUUGAAUGUGAGGGAGAAUGGACAGUAAAUGUGAGGUAGAAUUGAGAUUAUUUCAAUUUUAUGUAUUAGGGAAAAAUUAGAGCAAAUGUGUUUUUAAUACUUAUAAAUUAGCCAUAUAAAUUGUAGGUGUAAUUUCAUACUUUAGUACUUUUCAAAUAGAGGUAUGCAAUUUGCCAUUUUUAGAAUAAGUACAUUAUGUGGGAAAUAUUGAAUUUUUUAAUAGUUUAGUUAUUUCUAAAUUAAAUAUGAGCUAAAUAAUUUGUGUAUUUCUAUGUAAACUUUCAGCAAUAUUUGAGUUUGUCGUAGUGUAUCAUGUUGUUUGCUUCUGAAAUUUUAAUUUGUGUAUUUCUAUCUAAAAUUUUAGCAAUGUGAUGGAUAGUUUUAUUGUAAUACAUUUUAUUGAUGGCUUGCGUAAUACGAUGCAGAUGGACCAGCAAUGGAUGUAUAACGCGGACAGGCAGAGCAAGGUGUUUAUUGCUGGCAUGAAUAAUUUUCUUGAAGUGGCCAAAGCGAACAAACCAGGGAACGGGUUCAUAUCUUGUCCAUGUGCCCAAUGCAGUAACCAGAAGUGCUAUUCAAAGGCUUCCUAGGGGACUAUUCAUAGCCACUUGUUUAGAUACGGUUUCACGCCUAACUAUUUGGUUUGGACCCGUCACGGUGAAAGAGGGGUUGUAAUGGAAGAUGGUGAAGAGGAGGAGGAUGAUGACAACAUUCCGAACUGCGCUACAGUCUAAUCUUUUGUAGAUACUACUGUGGCGGAUCCACUUCGGAUCUACUGGGUUAAACAUGAUUUAGCCGCCUGAUAUGCGACGCUCAUGCCUAAGCUGAGUAAACACGAAGUGCCAUCGGAUUUUACUCCGAUUUAACCACUUGAACAGGACCGGUUUAGCAGACUCACACGAAGGUGAGCGGUUCCAGAGAGUACAACGAGUCCACCAAGUUAACAAAUUAACCACUGGAUUUAGUUACGAAAAGGACGUCAGAGUUUUACAAGAUUUCGGAAAACAACAGAAAGUAAAACACUAGCAGAAGCAUUCGUCGGGGUCGGAUGUCCUGGUGAGGCCGGCUGGGACAUCACUGAUCCCUCUCCUCGCCGUCCGAGGAGGGAUCCCACUCGACCGUCCAGCCCGGCGGGAGCUGGGGCAGCCAAGCGCCAGCAAGAGAGGGGUCGGGAGCAGCAGCUUCACCUGAAAAACAGGAGCCACAACAAGGCUGAGCUACUAAGCUCAACAAGACUUAACCGAUAGGAGUAAAACUACUCCUCCUAGACAUGCAGGGCUUUUUUGGCUGAGGGGUUUGGUUGCCGAAAGCUCUAAUUGAAAACCCUAUUUUCAAGUUUUAGCUCCGGUUCUAGGUUCAUUUACCAGUCUAGGUUUUGCAACCUAUUCUAAGCAAUCGUGGAACCAAACAAGAUGUGUAGAUAUAUCAACAAACAUGUCAUCAUCAGAUUCCUCAUUUACUCAGGGUGACAUAGCGAUCAAGCAAUCUCAAACUGUGAGAGGCAGACGAAUCGAUUCGAGUUCUUUAACCAUGCAUGGUGAACCUAGCCUCAUGACAUCCACGUACCCGGAGGUCGCUUCCUGUGUCGGCCUUCCCCAUCAAUCCCCUAACCCGUGUCGGGCCUAUUUCCUUUGGUGCAAGGUUCCACAGACCCGGCCUCUGCCGUUCUGGGGCCACGCAUGCCACCACGUGCGACAUCCAGCAGGGGAAACUCCGUUCCAAGAAUAAUGGGGCGACCGCUCACGUCUAGGUUCAAUCCGGUACUAGGCUUCCUCAUCCCAUACUAAGUAUGAGGCUAGUACUUUCAAACACUUGAUCACGAACACCACCACUGUCGGACCUUAGCAAGUUUUUCAUAGACAGACGGGGCAACCAUCCGUCCACCAAAGAGUUACCCAAACCCUGCCCCAUCCAUCGUCCUUAUAGUUGUAACAGAAAGGUAGACAUCCAACUCCUACAACUCGCGAGUGACAGGGAAUCACUCGACUUUUACCGUCUCCUAGUUAAGCAAUGCAACUACUCGGUCUAACAGCUAGUGCUCACAUCAUGGGGAUAACUAAGCCAUGUGUCUAGGGUUUCAAACAACUCCUAUACGUAAAUGCACAAACAUAUUACAGAAGGCAUGCGCAAGUUUGGUAAAACACACAGGGUUUUCAUGCAACUGGGGCUUGCCUUCGAGCAAGGAGGAAGAGAACUGCUCGAUUUCUAGGACGGCUUCGGCUUCAGCGGGCAAGAACUCAGCUACAGCUUCAUCUUCUGGCGCCGGGUGCAGCUCGUAGAAGCUGUCGGCGAGGCGCAGCUCUACACGAAUGCAAUGCAAGAGUUAGCAUAGAUGGUUAUUUCAACAGCAACACUUGCUCGCCUGAGCCCAGAAACUCGCGACAAAGAGCAGGGGGGUUGGGGAGGUUCAAGAGAGCGGGUGAGGAUCAAGAGGCAAGGGUCGGAAAGGAAACUUAGGAUCUGAUCCUUGAACUAGAGGAUGCGGUAUACUAGGGAUCCUCAGACGCAAGCGCUGAAGGGUUCCUAAGUUUUUGCACAUACACCCUCGGGUUGAAGAAAAGAUCACAGCCGAGCCCUUGGGCAAGGCGGAUAAGGGUCGGCGGGACAGAUAGGGUCGGGCGAGACGGAACCGGGGUCGGGCGGAUAAGAGGGGUCGGGCGAAGCGGACUGGGGUCGGUAGCUUACCUUCUUCCUGAAAGGAAGGCUUGGGGUCGGGAAGAGGCAGACUUGGGCGGAGGGACUAAAGCUUUGAACACGGCUAAGACUGGCAGUGCUCCGGCGGCGGCGGUGCUUCUUGCAGAUCACAAGAGAGCUUUUGCGCAGCACGGAGGAGCAAGCUGCUGGGUGACUUGGGGAAACUGAGGGGAGCUGAGGGGAGGGUUCCUCAAGAACAUAUGUCACUUUAGUAUUAGGCAAGGAUGUGAUUAUAUGAUUAUAUGGACUGAUACCGGUUAAAAGAUCAUUAUCUAAUCAACCAUUCACGUCGCCCAUAGUGUAGGCAACAGGCCAUUCUAUUGCGAUCCUCUGUCGCCUAUCGCUUCCCUUGAGAAUUUGAAGUCAGAAAUUCUUUUGUUUCAAUUUUGCUAGGUCCACUAGUUUUCUUAAAUCAGAAUCAAGUUGAAACCAGAAGAGCCUUGUUAGCUUGUUUGAUCUAUACUUCGUUGUAGCAAAUGUAAAAUGACAACUCAUAUAAUGGUUGUUUCAUAUUCGAUCUGCAAGUCUUCUUCUCAUUCACACGAUGGAUGGCCAUAGGCACAAAGAGAAUCGAAGUAGUAGACCAUAAUCACUAUAGUAAAAGCUUAAAAUCUCAAAAUAUGUCAUCAUUUAUUUUUCAUUAUGUUAUCCAUAGAACUAUAGUAUGAGUUAGAAUAUUGCAUGGACAUCAGAUCAGCUACAACAUUUCCUAGCUUCGCCCUUCGCCGCCCCUGCAGCAGCUAGCCCAAUCCAGGAAAUGUAUUUCCCAGGUGGGGGUGAGCAGACCCUGGAAAUAAGCUGGGGACGGACCAGCACGUCAACCGUCUCUGAAAAUAGCCCAUUUCAGAGGUGGGCAACUCCAUGGUCCGUCCUAGCAGAUUGAAUUACAGGAGCAGACGACACGAAGCAUCACCCUGCUGCUCAACCAAAUUUUGUAUGGACAACGCGCAAAUGAAAAGGCAAGCGGAAAGCAUAAGGUCCAUUCUGCUCCGCACAUAUAUCUUAUCUCAACCACAGCUUUCCAUGUCAUCUCCUUAGAGAAACUCCGACAGAUUGAUUUUCCACAUUCCCCUUUAUCCUCUUAUAGGGCAUUCCCUUUCACGAUUUCUGAAUUUUGAAGACUAGUGGGGCAAGAAAUUUUGUAUAGUAACAAAGAUAAUCUCAGCCCCACUUGCUACACAUACAUGCACGGUAAAUAGAAAGGGUUAUUUUCUAUGUCAAAGGCAUGCUCAGCUUCAAAGUCGUUCUGUUGUUAGCAUCGUUGUGUUGUUUCUGCUAACGUGCAGGAGGAAGCGAAAACACAGAGUAGAAAGAGGAUGAGAAAUUAAAGAAGACAAUGAAGCUCACGUUCACGUCUACAUGAGGGAGCUCUCACACAAGCAAGUCCAUUCAUCCUCUGUCUCCAUGCUGUUGAUGAUGACAUGUCACAUGUCCUUUGCCUUGACGUCGGCGGCAGGCCGGCAGCCCAAUGAACCCAUGACGAACAGCAUGAGCAUGACCAGCUAACUUCAUUGCUGAGUACGACAUGUGGUUAUCCUUGCUAUAACUAAUGUUGGUCAGAAGAAGAAGCUGCUAUAAAGUUGUUCUGAAGACGCUGAGUUCUAGGCGUACGCAAGCCCCGGUUGAUUGCCUGCGAAGUUUGGAUCCUUCGUUUCCAGGAUUAAGCUGUAAAUCUCCGAUAGACUCUCUUUAUAUCUCUUUAUGUGAUACUGUUACUGUUAUUCACUGAUGAUGUGACUAUAUGUAUGAAACUUGAUCAUGUCAUACAUACAGUUAGCACUUGGUUUUGCUGUUCUAAAAUCAGAUGUGACACCUAUGAACCCAUGACGAACAGCAUGAGCGUAACCAGCUAACUUCAUUGCUGCUGCCUUUCGUAGAUGUUGGUGAACAUGACGUGUCUUUCAUCUCCACGAUGGCGACGGAUCCAAAGAUCGAAGAACAUGCAUCAACGCGAUCCGUAUGGCGUGUUUUCUGGUAUUUCCACCCCAUGAUGUAACGCCGACCGGGUUCCAUACGAGGCCUACGGCCAGUCUGUUCACUUUCAUCAUGUGCUCCGAUGAGAGUUCAUCACCGUGAUAAAAGACGGAGACGAGGGCACACAGUCGUAGCUGCAAGUAAGGCCAACAGGCUGAAGGCCAUGGCUUUACAGCCAGCAGUCCACCCUUGCAUGCACUCACGGACUAUUACCGAACUAGCAAUUGGUACUUUGACGCGCUACAUGGACCCUUACAAAAUUAAAAAAAUGAACGUCAACAAGCAAAUGAAACUGCAUGAACUGAAGUAGGGAAAUGAAGACCACGUACAGUUCUUAUUGAAGCUGAAAUGUAUGUCAUAAAAGUAUUAUUGUUAGAUUGAAGUCAAUUUAAAUAUUUAAACGAGUAACGAGGGCUCGGAUUAGUAGAAGGUGUUAGUAAGGCCCUCCAAUAGACCACUCAAUGAUUUUUAGAUCCAACUGUUUAUAUAGUAAGUUCGGAUAUUUAAUUAAUAAAUUGAAGUUGCCUUAAGAUAUGCAUAGUAAAUCACAAGACCAAAGUGGAAUAACCAUUAGACAACUAAUAAAACCAUCAUUAAGUUUUUGUCUACUUUUAGCAAUAUUGCUUAGGUUUUCUAUUUCGUCUAAAUAUAUCUUAAGCGGCUCAUAUGUCCAAAUUACCCACACAGUGAAUAAAUGUCGUUCCAGUUCAAGGAUUCAUGUGGAGUUGUCACACACUAGUGUGAACCCAUCAAGUGUGUGUCUUGCUUCCCUUUUCAAUCAACAAGCUACCUCCCUGAUUUGAAUAUAAUAAACUUAAAUGCUUCAGUUUCUAUGGUCCAUUGUUAUGUGAUGGACAUGAAAAAUGAAAAAUAUAGCCUACAAUGUUCAAAAUGCAUCUGAAGUACUAGGGUAUAAAAUAAGCUCACUGCCAUCCAAGUACAAGGGUUAACAACUAGAAAUAUAACCUUUAUUGCUAUCUGUAAACAAAAUAUGCCUGUUGAAUUACAUGUCGGGAAAGGUGAAUGCACGGAUUAACGGCUAGUAUUAGCUAAUUUUGUUGUCUUUUUUGUUAAUAACUAGGUUUCCAAUGCCAAACUCUGCGUAAGGGUUCAGCAACUGGCUACAUAUUGGAAAGGAGUUACUGUUGGUGGCUAGCCCUCAUAAGAGAUAACUAUUUCAUUCCUGAUGCCUUCCAUGCCUAUGGAUGUACCGCGUGCUCGAGUAAGCUAUGCUUGCAGAUGGAUCUUAAACCUGAUGUCAAAUUGUUUAUAAUUGAAAGAGUUUGCUGUUUGUCUGCUUUAGGGAAGAUGGGUAGCACGUUUAUAUGCCAUUAAUUCUCAUGAAAGAGUGCAUAUACCAUGUUUGUCGCAGCAAGAUGAGGCUGUAGAGUAGUAGAAGUGUAGAACAAUGGUACAGGUUGUAUGAAUAAUUUAUUGAAGGGAAUCAUAGACGCCACAGCCACUGAAGCUGUCGGGGCAUGAUUAGCCAAUGGUCUAAUUCCUGAUAUCUCCGUAUCCUAAUUUUCUGAAGCCUUACGGACUCUACCCUCCUCACUUCAUAUAUAUUAGUGUUUAUAAUAGCGGUUUUAUAAGAAGUGCUGAAGGUAUUGGUCCUGCUAUAUCUUGCUUCCACUACCGGAUUUGUGUACGAAAUAUUAAUUCUUGAGAUUUGUCAAUGAUUUUAGGAAGCAAUGAUACCUUCAACUACCGGAUUGCAUAUAUAAGUUAGUCUUAGCCAGUUAUAUAUCAGAGGAGGAAGCACGCAUUAAAUAAUAAAUAACUCAUGUUGAUUCAAUUGGUAACCUGGCCUCUAAAAAGAAAAGGACUCUGUGCUCAAAAAAUGAAAAAAAGUAGCCUGCUAAUAACAAUGUCGACACUUUACAUCUGAGCAGCUAGCUCCGUGAUGCUUUAUCUGGCUAGUGAACUACCUACCUAUGUUAUUUAAACAUUUUUGCUGCCUAUAAAUUGGGCAUCAUUUCAGCAGACCACCACAGCACCUGAGCUUGCCAUCUUUUCCUGUUCUAUCUCACUCAUUUGUCCUGUAGCUACUAGCUAAGCCACCAUAUCAUCCAUGGCUUCCGGUGCCUCCACCACGUUGAAGAUUGCCUCUAUCGCCGCUUGCAUCCUGCUGGUUCUGCUGUCCAAUGGCCACCCUACAGUGGCGACCGUUGAUUGUACUGCGGCUUGCAAAGAGCCGUGCGAGAGCUUUUCUAAGGGAUUCUGCGCGGGUGGAGCCACCAGCGGUUGUGCGACUAAGGCAGCAGCUACAGCAUGCCGCAAUUCGGCGUUCUCGCAGUGUGCGAACAACUGCUACACAGUUUGCACCGCCGGGACCAUCGCGCCUUGCGCUUGAAGAUGCAUUUGUGUUCCUACUUCCACAUUAUUGUUACUGGUGAGUGUGUGCAAGCAGGCCUGCCGUCCACGGGAGGAGGCACGCAAGCACGCAUGAUAAGCCACUGUCAUUUUUCCACUUUAUCAUUUACUUAUUGAAGGCAAUGUACGUGCCUAGCUCCUGUGUGGUUGAGCAUGUCAUCUUGGAAUUUUGUCCAAAGUUUAACAUACCAUGUUGUAUUGUUGUGUAUGGGUAUCAAUAUAAUUUAUCAACUAUUUUGCGUUUACCAUAGACAUUUCUAUGUUUAUUUGCAAGGGUUAGGGAAAUUUGUCCUUGAUAGUGUACUAACCGCGUCUGCCAACUGAACAGAUCAACUUUCUCAACAGCCUAUCUCCUCCUUGAAAAAAUAUUCGUUUUAGAAAUGGUUUGUUUCUUUUCUGUAUAGCUCUAUCACCCAUCACCGUGAGGGUUACAAAACUCGGCGCAAGCGUUCCAAGCUGUGGCGCCACAAACCACAUAAGCUGUGGCGCAAGGGUUCUAGCUGGCUAGUCACAAAAAACUAUUUCAUCCCGGAUGUCUUCCAUGCCCAUGGACCUGCCGCUUUCUUGAUCGAGUAAUCUAUGCCCAUGAAAGGGUUCGGUAUUUGUCUGAUCGAGGAAGACGAGGUAGCACAUUUAUGUGAAAGCAGUACUGGCGGACAUGAUGGUCGGUGGCCUAUUGAUUAUCUUCCAACUCCUUUAUGCCAUUAUCAGUACUACAGAAAUCAUUUGUAGGGGUGAAGUGUUUUUUUUUAGGGUGGACCAAAAGGUCUGCCGCCCCCAGGGGCGGAGCUACAGUCAACCAUCGAUGAUUUGGUCGCGAGCUCUUAUAUCCUUCCCAGGAGAACUGCCCAUACGUUGCUACGGAUAAAAAUAAUGUAUAUAAUUACAUUAAUCAUGAUUUGUUAUUUCAAAUGUGUGACAUAUUAUCGAAUUUACGUAUCUUUCUAUGCAUUUUUCGAACAAAGAGAUAUUUUUAUAAUAAUUUUAUCAGAUUAACAUGAGACAUAAUCUUCUAUGGUAUAUUAUGUACUCUAGUAUGUAAAUCUUAUGUUUGUUUGUGUAGUCUUCUACGUUGCUCGCUUUUUAUAAUAAAAGUAGAGAGAGGUGUGCGCCUGUGAACAACAAAAACCCAAAAAUGUACACAAUAAUCAAUAAAUUAUAAUUAUUAUUUUUUCCUAGAAUAAAAAUAUGGACUCAUCGAGCCCAUGAAAAGCGCAAGGAGGUGGCCCGGCAGCCCCAUCCAUCCAUCCAUUGUUAUCCACACUUGCUAAACAAAUGAAUUAAAAACAUAAUUUUAUCAACACAAGAGACGGAUUAAUUGUUUGGUACUGAACUUUCUUGGACGUUGCUGUUGCUGGAUUCGGCAUUAGGAAGGCGUCGCUCGGCCGUGCAGAGGUGCCAUUGUGGCUUUGUGGAGGCACCCCUACGUUGUGUCGGAGCGGAGCUGCAGGCAGCGUAAGCGGCCGGGUAGCACGCCACAACAUGCUAGAGACAGCGCCGAGCCUUGAGCCUUCGACUGGGGCUGCUUAUAGAGCCAACACCGCUCUGUAUCUUGCUCAGUGGAUGCGCGGACGACGGCGAGCGGCGCCUAGGAGAACUGCAAAUGCUCCUGCACACAUGCCCCAUGGGCCGGAACUGCACACUAACCCCCGCGAACGAUGGUAGUAGGGCAACAAAGCUGGCCAUGGCGCUGCUCGUUGAGCUUUCCGUGUGCGCGAACAGGCAUUUGAUAUGUUCCCUACAAAAUUAAAGGUUGUUUGAUUCAACGGUCAAAUAGUGCGAGCAUGUUAAUUGAUGCGAGUGUAUUGUGGGAACUGCCAAGGAACUGCAGGGCAUCGAGCAAGCAGUGGUGUUGCUCGGAAGUACCAGCACUAACGCGCUUUCCGAUGUGUCUCCAGCGGGGGUGGCAGCGUCUGCCUGCUGGGCAGCAGUUUCACCCUAUUCUGGGCAUCUCCCCACCCGUCUUGGCCAUCAUUACCUCUAGCAUCGUUAAGGUAUGGCUUCCUUUCAGCCUCGGCCGUUUCUUUCUCCAAUGACCGGUUAAAAGAUCAUUAUCUAAUCAACCAUUCACGUCGCCCAUAGUGUAGGCAACAGGCCAUUCUAUUGCGAUCCUCUGUCGCCUAUCGCUUCCCUUGAGAAUUUGAAGUCAGAAAUUCUUUUGUUUCAAUUUUGCUAGGUCCACUAGUUUUCUUAAAUCAGAAUCAAGUUGAAACCAGAAGAGCCUUGUUAGCUUCUUUGAUCUAUACUUCGUUGUAGCAAAUGUACAAUGACAACUCAUAUAAUGGUUGUUUCAUAUUCGAUCUGCAAGUCUUCUUCUCAUUCACACGAUGGAUGGCCAUAGGCACAAAGAGAAUUGAAGUAGUAGACCAUAAUCACUAUAGUAAAAGCUUAAAAUCUCAAAAUAUGUCAUCAUUUAUUUUUCAUUAUGCUAAAAGAUGGAGAUGAGGGCACACAGUCGUAGCUGCAAGUAAGGCCAACAGGCUCAAGGCCAUGGCUUUACAGCCAGCAGUCUUGCCUUGCAUGCACUCACGGACUAUUACCGGACUAGCAAUUGGUACUUUGACGCACUAUAUGGACCCUUACAAAAUUAAAAAAAUGAACGUCAACAAGCAAAUGAAACUGCAUGAACUGAAGUAGGGAAAUGAAGACCACGUACAGUUCUUAUUGAAGCUGAAAUGUAUGUCAUAAAAGUAUUAUUGUUAGAUUAAAGUCAAUUUAAAUAUUUAAACGAGUAACGAGGGCUCGGAUUAGUAGAAGGUGUUAGUGAGGCCCUCCAAUAGACCACUCAAUGAUUUUUAGAUCCAACUGUUUAUAUAGUAAGUUCGGAUAUUUAAUUAAUAAAUUGAAGUUGCCUUAAGAUAUGCAUAGUAAAUCACAAGACCAAAGUGGAAUAACCAUUAGACAACUAAUAAAACCAUCAUUAAGUUUUUGUCUACUUUUAGCAAUAUUGCUUAGGUUUUCUAUUUCGUCUAAAUAUAUCUUAAGCGGCUCAUAUGUCCGAAUUACCCACACAGUGAAUAAAUGUCAUUCCAGUUCAAGGAUUCAUGUGCAGUUGUCACACACUAGUGUGAACCCAUCAAGUGUGUGUCUUGCUUCCCUUUUCAAUCAACAAGCUACCUCCCUGAUUUGAAUAUAAUGAACUUAAAUGCUUCAGUUUCUAUGGUCCAUUGUUAUGUGAUGGACAUGAAAAAUGAAAAAUAUAGCCUACAAUGUUCAAAAUGCAUCUGAAGUACUAGGGUAUAAAAUAAGCUCACUGCCAUCCAAGUACAAGGGUUAACAACUAGAAAUAUAACCUUUAUUGCUAUCUGUAAACAAAAUAUGCCUGUUGAAUUACAUGUCGGGAAAGGUGAAUGCACGGAUUAACGGCUAGUAUUAGCUAAUUUUGUUGUCUUUUUUGUUAAUAACUAGGUUUCCAAUGCCAAACUCUGCGUAAGGGUUCAGCAACUGGCUACAUAUUGGAAAGGAGUUACUGUUGGUGGCUAGACCUCAUUAGAGAUAACUAUUUCAUCCCUGAUGCCUUCCAUGCCUAUGGAUGUACCGCGUGCUCGAGUAAGCUAUGGUUGCAGAUGGAUCUUAAACCUGAUGUCAAAUUGUGGAUAAUUGAAAGAGUUUGCUGUUUGCCUGCUUUAGGGAAGAUGGGUAGCACGUUUAUAUGCCAUUAUUUCUCAUGAAAGCGUGCAUAUACCAUGUUUGUCGGAGCAAGAUGAGGCUGUAGAGUAGUAGACGUGUAGAACAAUGGUACAGGUUGUAUGAAUAAUUUAUCGAAGGGGAUCAUAGACGCCACAGCCACUGAAGCUGUUGGGGCAUGAUUAGUCAAUGGUCUAAUUCCUGAUAUCUCCGUAUCCUAAUUCUCUGAAGCCUUACGGACUCUACCCUCAUCACUUCAUGUAUAUUAGUGUUUAUAAUAGCGGUUUUAUAACAAGUGCUGAAGGUAUUGGUCCUGCUAUAUCUUGCUUCCACUACCGGAUUUGUGUACAAAAUAUUAAUUCUUGAGAUUUGUCAAUGAUUUUAGGAAGCAAUGAUACCUUCAACUACCGGAUUGCAUAUAUAAGUUAGUCUUAGCCAGUUAUAUAUCAGAGGAGGAAGCACGCAUUAAAUAAUAAAUAACUCAUGUUGAUUCAACUGGUAACCUGGCCUAUGUCACUCGGAUACACCGUUUCUCUGAGGUGUUCCAGGAGGCGUAAGUUGUGGAACAAUUCCGCAACUCUUUAGAUGAUUGCUAAACUCGUGGCUCAAAUACUCGCCUCCACGAUCAGAUCGUAAGGCUUUAAUUUUUUUGCCAUGCUGAUUUUCAACUUCAUUCUGAAAUUCCUUGAACUUUUCAAAGGUUUCGGACUUGUGCCUCAUCAAGUAGACAUAGCCAUAUCUACUAAAAUCAUCAGUGAAAGUUAUGAAGUAUUGGAAUCCUCCUCUAACCUUCGUGCUCAUUGGUCCGCAUACAUCACUAUGUACGAGUUUCAACAAGUCUACUGCUCUCUCAGAAAAUCCUGUGAAAGGUGUCUUGGUCAUCUUGCCUAGCAAGCAAGCCUCACAUAUCUCGUAUGAUUCAAAAUCAAACGAAGUUAGAAGUCCAUCAGAAUGGAGCUUCUUCAUGCGCUUUUCACUUAUAUGACCCAAACGACAAUGCCACAAGUAGGUAGGACUCAAAUCAUUAGGCCGAGGCCUUUUAGCACUUACGUUACAGACAGGUGAACCAUCAAGAUUUAAAACAAAUAAUCCAUUCACAAUGGGCGCAAAAGCCAUAAACAUAUCAUUCUUAGAGAUCACACAACCAUUGUUUUCACUCGCAAAUGAAUAACCAUCCUUCAUCAAGCAUGAAGGAGACAAAAUGUUUCGACUUAAACUAGGAAUGAAAUAACAAUUAUUCAACUCCAUAAUAAAUCCUGACGGGAGGUGGAGUUGCAUCGUCCCGACGGUCAACGCAGCAACUUCUUGCAUUAUUGCCCACGCGGAAAUCAACUUCUCCUCUUUCCACACUUCUACUUCUUAUCAUUCCCUGCAUCGAAUUGCAAAUAUGAGCAACCGAUCUGGUAUCAAAUACCCAAGAAUUAAUAAUUAUCUAUAACAUUAACAACAAGCGUACCUGAGGUAGAAGUAUUCUUACUUCCGCCAUUCUUCAACGAAGCUAGGUAUUGCUUGCAGUUUCUCUUCCAGUGACCAGGUUCGUGACAAUAAAAGCACUCUUUGUCUGGAGUAGGCCCAGCUUUAGCCUUGGGCGCUGGGUUUGGCUUAGACAGUCCAGCCUUACCCUUCUUCUUCCAAAAAUUGCCCUUCUUAUUGAAGGUAGGCUUGUUCUGUACAGCCAUCACAUGGUUGGUACUAGCGCUUUUCUUAAUGUCUACCUCUGCUGUCUUGAGCAUACCAUAUAGUAUAUUCAGACCCUUCUCCGUCCCAUGCAUAUGGUAGUUCGAGAUGAAGUUCCCAUAGCUAGGCGGAAGAGAUGAAAGAAUGAAGUCAGUGGCCAACUCUUUGCCCAUUGGGAAGCCCAUCUUCUCCAAUCGCUGAGUGUAACCAACCAUCUUGAUUACAUUUGGUCCUACUGUUGCGCCUUCUGCUAGCUUGCACUCCAGAAAGGCUUUGGACACAUUGAACCUUUCAGUCCUAGCCUGUGUCUAGAACAUGUCCUUGAGCGCCACGAUCAUAUCGUGUGCCUCAUGAUUUGUUUCGAACUGCAUCUGCAGCUCGGGUUCCAUGCAAGCAAGCAUAAGGCAGCUUACCUCAAGAUUAGCAUCAAAUGCCUUCUUGUAAGCAGCCUUAACGGCAGCAGAUGAAUCAUCAGCAGGUACUGGUGGUAGUGGGGUGUCUAGAACAUCUUCCUUUUUAUCGGCCCUGAGAACAAUUCUCAGGUUACGGAUCCAAUCCGAGUAGUUUGUUCCAUUCAACUUGUCCUCUCAAGGACCGAACGCAAAGCAAAUGGUGUGGUGUUGCUAGGUGCCAUUUAAUCUACAACAAAAGUAAUGCAAAAUACACUAAGACAAACAUAUCCAUGAUAGAGCAAAUCACAUUAAACUAUGUUAACAGAAUCUACUCCCACUAAAAUCAAUAUCCCUCUAUUGAUACUUAGUGAUUCAGGAUCCACAACUAACAAGUCUACUAGUGAGCUUUAGCAUCACCGCUAGCAAACAAAGUAGAUCGGUAAGCAACUUUUCCUAAUCAUAUCACAUAUGACUCCUGUUGUUGGGUGACAUCUCCAUGUCUCGGCGCCCAACCUUUAUGCCCCAAGGUCCUUAAACGUUAAGUUAACCUUGUUAAGCAAACCAACCCUUAUGCAUGUAAGUGUGCGACACAAACCCGUCUAAUCAAGAAAAACUAGUGGCACCCUAAUUUCAUAGACCCACCACUAAUUGUACAAGACAUGGGACGGUGCAAGUUUUAGUUGGGAGGGCAUACUAACUUAAAAUUUGUGAGGGAUCGUUCUACUUCUAACAUCACAGCAUGCAGAAAGUAAAACAUAAACAGAAUAGCAUUCACACAGUUGUGACACAGUAUGACCCGUUUUCUUAUGGUGAUCUUCAUCUCCAUAGAACCUGUUCACCAUGGUGAUCUCCAUCUCCAUGUUCCAUGUGCGCCAUCCUCUUGGUGAUGAGUCCUCCAAGAACUAGAACAUGCUAUUACGCCUAAUAGCUAGUAAAAAGCUAGUAAUGAAGAUUACAUAGUUGGUUGGAUCAUCACAGAUUGGUACGCAGACCAUUAAAUACAUUAAGGUAACAACACAUAUGGCUCCUGCCGUGUUGCCGUACGCACGACACGCAGGUCACGAAUGAGUUACACACAUGCAUCACAUACACAAAGGGGCCAUACUGAUCACAAGAUACAUACAUCUUGCAAAACAGAGUUAAGCGUCCUAACGUUCCAAACUUUGGAGGCCCGAAACUCCAUCUUCCAAGCCGAAUUUGGGAAAUCUAAUGUCGCCGAAAAUGGCGAAGCAGUCGAAUUUCAUGUGUAACUUUUUCUGUAGAUCAAUUUUUAUAUAAAAUUCGCCCCGAUCCGAGAUCGUAUCGAAAAGUUACGGCUGAUUUACCGAAGCAUACGCACACGGCAAAAUCCCGACCCCGGCAGUAGAUCCCAUCUACUAUUGCACAUCUCAUGUGCCUGGCGUAUGAACCUAGAUUUCGAUUCGACCAAUCACAUUGAUCUUCGCUCACUGCAACUGGAAUUACGUGUAUCACCUAACUCCGAUGGUGGAAACCCAACCGGUAGGAGUAUGUCGUUACACUACCAUAGCAGCAAGAACACGAAACCAGGACGGAGAUCAAAUUGAAAACUCGCAUAUCUCCAUAUGCACACAUCCCAAAUCCAAAACUAAACAGCUACGGCUCUGAUACCACUGUCGGGAUACGAGGUAGGCUACACUAGCGCAAAUAAAAAAUUUUCUACCGCGUAAACCAGGGAAACUGCCGUAUAAGGAUCACGGGAUUACCACUCGACACACUACUAGUGCGCAAGAUGUAGAUUCACGUCGAUGCAGCGAAGUCGAUCAACGUAGUCGUAUGUAGUCGAUCACGUCGACGUCCAACAGCUCCUCAGCAGCUCGUCCACGUGCAGCAAGAUCUCCCUCGUGCCGCGGCUUGUCGGCGGCUCGUCACGGCUCGUCGGCGGCUCGUCCAAGUGCUGCAGGCGCAACACCUCCAAGGUAUCCACACGUGCAGGGAGGAAGCGUCACAAGCCGGACUGCUAGAUCCGUAAGUUGCAACAGGCGUGGGAGGCGCGGCUGAUGAGUUUCGUCAAAAUGGUGUAAACCCUAGGGCGCCCCCACCCCUCUAUUUAUAGAGGUUCCUAACGGGCCUCUGGGUCCGAGGCCCAUUAGUACUUCUAAACCUAAUCCAACUCGGAUCACAUCCGAAUUGGGCUUCCAGCCCCUUAAGUGUAUGACCCUAUGGGUUCGGAUACGUAUAGACAUGGCCCGAGUACUCUUACUCGGCCCAAUAGUCGGUAGCGGCCUCUAGCAAGACAUGCCAACUCCUAGAUGCACACGAAGAUCAUAUCAGACGAACCAUCACAACAUUAUAUACAUGCUAUUCCCUUUGCCUCACGAUAUUUUGUCUAGCUUCAAGCCGACCGCUCUUUCUCGAUCCUGUGAUUCGGAAUCCCUUUGUAGGUUAACUCUUAACCGUACGUAGCAUGGCCAUGCAUUUUUGGAUCCGAUCACUCGAGGGGCCCAGAGAUAUCACUCUCAAUCAGAGAGGGGCAAAUCCCAUCUUGAUUAACCAUGUCUCAUAGCAUGCUUCUUGACAAAACCGAAAGCUACCUUUAUAACUACCCUGUUACGGCGUAGCGUUUGAUACCCUCUAAGUAGGUCGAUCCACAUCUUGAAUACAUGCGACAAUCUCAGGUCUAAGGACAAAGCGUAUAUGAUGUUUAAAGAGAGAACUACUUCUCAUGUUGGGUCAGUCCUAGCACAUGUCUCCACAUGAACCCACAUUAUUAGUUCAACAUCUCCAUGUCCAUGACUUGUGAAACAUAGUCAUCAACUAAUACAUGUGCUAGUCUAAUAUUCAUGUGUGUCCUCACAUGAACUCCGACUAGGGACAACUUUAGAAUAACCAUACAAGUAAAGAGUUUCACACACAAUUCAUGUAAUUGCAAAUCAAUUCAAGUAGUCUUUAAUGGAUAUUCAAGGAACACAACAUAAAUCAUGGAUACAAAUGGAAUAUCAUCAUCUCUAUGAUUGCCUCUAGGGCAUACCUCCAACAAUUUGCAGGGUCAUGCACCAUGCGUGCGGCGACCCAUCCAUCGGACAGCGCAUGGCAUUGCACAAGACGUACUGGGAGGAUAUGCAGUGGAAUGAGCCAGACAGGUACUACGCCCUCCUCGCUCUGCUGGUUGGUUUGGGGAACCUGGAGGCCUGCACCAUCAAAGGGAUUGUAGAUUUCUUCGCCGUCCCCCGGCCAUCCCUCCAAAAGCUUUCCCGCACCACACCGGGUGGGCAUGAUGUGAGGGCCUAUCUUUACGCCCUAAUGAUAUACAGGAACAACAGUGCAAUCAUGGACGAUGACAUUGCGAAGAGAUAAAUCUACCACGUCGAAUGCAAGGAUGGUUCGGCAGUGAGCGGGAGCACAAGCUCAAAGAAGCUGCGCAACGAUGCCUGUCAGGUGUGCCGCGAGGAGGCCGCCUACCUAGUCAAUAGAGUUACAUGGGGCGGGCAUGGUGAUCCGCUUUCACCGGCACCAGUUUGAGGCGACUUCCCUUGCACUGGAGGCGACUGCGGCAAGGUUAAGGGCUGGGAACAAGCUACGCUUUAUUGCAACGAGGACUAUAGGAUACGCCAUGAAAUUGUAGCGUUCAAAAGGAGAAUGGAGAUCGAUAACUAAUUGUAGGAUUUCUUUUGCUUUUGCCUAAUGUUGUCCAUGACUCGUUGGCUGAACUUGUAGUGCUGGAACUAUGUUUGUGGUUAAUUUGGAUCAACUUGUAGUCACUACAAGGUUUUGUCUAUCCAAUGGAGUUGUAUUUUCGCAAUGUGUUUUUGUGUCUAAGCACACCUUACACCUCCCUACAUAUAGGUGUUAUGAUGCACAUAUAAAAAGAACCCACACUUGGGUACCUUCAUUUGUCCUUGGAUUUCAAUUGUGGGACCCACUACAUCCCGCCAGGUUGUGCCUCAAAUUUUUAGUACUAGUGCAAUGUUUCCUCCAUUCUUUUUUUCCUAGACCCUCAAAUAUAUCUCAGCCUCUACCCCACUUGCCCCCAAAACUGCGCUGGCUGCGUUAGGGGGGGCAACGGUUCCUCUCUGCCCAAGCGACUCCAUCCAUGGCAACUCCUCCUUCCAUGGCGACUCCUUCCAUGGCCGGCGAUGGAGAACCCAGCACACGACCAAGUACGGUCAGAGUCGAGGAAGCCGAUAUUGAAAACAAAUGUUACAGGUUCGCAUCCACCUUUAACGCCUUCUAGGUUAGGGCAGAAAAUUUCUACACAUUAAUUGCGUACAAUCGAUUUGAUGCUGCCUCAUUGGCGCAUGCUUUUAUAAAUCACAGAUCUGAUUACUACUGAUUAGUUUUUCGCAUAGCACUAGUAGUACUACAUCUUCAUUCAUUGAUGCAAGGGUUUUGAUAUCUAUGUGCACAUACAGAUCAGAGGAGUUGACAGGCUAGAUGGAUGUGGCAGGUAAUGGUACAGUGCCUGGGGGCAGAAGGACAAGAUGUGCGCCUGGUUAAGGUAAUAUUGAUAGCGCACAAUUAGACUUUGUCAGCUUGUGGGAUUACAAAGAUCAACUUCGAUAUGGUGCGUGGGACUACUACUACUACAAGAAGAGAAUAGGAAAUGCUGAUGCAUCUGUUCAGUCAAUUGGUUACCCCAAAGAUGUAGAGUGUAUGUUUCAGUACAUGGAUUCAUCUGAAGAAAGGAAACUAAGGUUGAUACUAUCAAAACAAGAAUUGGUUGGAGCUGUCAACAUUACACCCCUGAAACAACCAAGGGUGAAUGAGUCUGAUGAUGUUACUGAUGCUGAUACUAGUAAUGAUGAAUCACUUGAUGAAUACAAAGAUUGUCUUCAAGACCAAGACCUAGAUUGUGGUAUGUAUGCUGUUUGUACUACACUAUGCACAUGUGUCUAUAACUGUACAAUGUACUCACAUAGUUGUGUUGGUAACUUGCAGAUCUAUACGAUAACUAUAGGGAAGAAAUAGUAAAAACAUACUCUAAAUGGUUAAGGCAGAAAGGCCUUAUGAGAGAUAUUUGUAAAUCCUUUUUCCUCUGAACUAAUUCUUAUUUUUGAUGAAAAUUGUACAAUCGUCUAAGUGCACUUGUUUUUUAUUUGUUCAGUGGCUUAUAAUAGAGGUCAAGCAAAGCUUACAGAAGUACGUGAUGAGAGCAAUGGUAGUAGCGCCACGCCACCAUCACAAUGGCCAGCACAUGCUAGGAAACCAAAGCAGACAAUAGGUUCUAAAAGCUAAAGCUUCACACCUUCUGUAGUUUUUUAUGCUCUUAUUGUGCACGACUUAAUGUAAGUUUCUAUUUUUUGAUUGUAAUUAGGUGGCAAGAAAAUGGACCGAGAAUGCUUGAAAGGGCUAGCUGUGGUGGCCAAGAGAUCGAAGUCUGGCUCAUAGAAACUGAAAAUCAAAUUUUCCAAAAAUGUGGGUGGUCCCUGUGGAGAUAACAGACGUACCUUUGUGGAUGAGGUUGUUCUGUUUACAAAGUAGAAGGCUCCAUUAAUUGGAGUUAGAAAUUGGAAAGAUGUGUGUCAGCAUGUCAAGGAUGAUAUCGUAGAAUCUGUAAUGGUAUGUCAAUGGCCACCUCAUCCUUCAUUAUAAUGUUAUAUAUUAGUCUUGUUCCCUCUAUUUUCUUGGAAACAUAUAUUUUGAAUGUAGCAUACAUAACAAGUUUUCUUUCCCACUAGGAUCAUUGGGACCUUGAGACCACUGAGAGUCCGAACAAAAAGAUAUGGAAGGUUGCCAAUGAACGCUACAAAAGUUGGCGAUCUGUUUUGCAUUCUACAUACAAGGCAUACAACAGUUAUGAUGAGAGAAGGAGACAUAAGCCUGAAGACAUAGACAUUGUGAAGUGGCACUAUUUGAACAUGUACUUUGGAACUAAGGACUUCAAGGUAGGCCCUCUUUUGUAAGUAAAAGAACACAAUCAUGAGUUCAACUUUUCAUCGCUAACCAUUACUUUACGGGAUGACUGUGUAGAGUAGGAGCAGCAUGAACUCUUUGAAUCGUAGCCAACUGAGAACAAAUCACUCGGGGGGUUCCAAACCUUUCUCGUAGUGGAGUUGGGAAAAGGUAAAGAUUUGUUUACUUAUUCUCAACUUUCAGUACAUUACACAAUGAUAUAUUAAUAGCGUUUAAUGUUGUAAUCAUAGAGAGAUCCAGUAACUGGCGAUGAGCCACCCCUUUUGGAACUUUGGAAGACUACUCAUACUAGGGAAGAAAGAUGGACAAAUCACCUAGCUGAAAGUAUUUAUGUGUGUACUGAGUGCUAAUUUGAUCAUAACAUUGAUUCGGCAUUACAAGCUAUUUUUUGGUAUGAAAACAUGACCAAAUUAAUGUUACAAUUAAUUGUUUCUUGCCAUCAGACAUGUACAUCUAGAAAAUUAUCUCAACACAAUCAGAUGAAGAAGACCAACAAGUCAUACUUCUGGACUUGCUAAGGAAGACCAAGUUUUCUAGGAAACGUACAGGGAAACAACAGGAGCCAAAUAUAGAAGGUCACGUGGCCAUGGUUACUUGUCGAAUCCAAAACGAAAGCAAGAAGCCCUUCAGGAGAGAAUGAUUCAGGAGAGAAUAGAGAGGCCCGAAGAACAAGAAUGUCAGUUACAGGAAAAAAUGCAAAAGCAUGAAGCUAAAAAGGAAGCAGAGAUCGAACAACUUAAAGUUGCACUUAGCCAAGAAUUGAUGGGGGAAGUUGCUAGAAUGAUCGCGCCUUAUCGUCAGGCUUUACUGCAAGAGGUAACCAGAAUAUAAUUUGUGCAUGUUGAUUUAUGUUGUGUUCUAAAUUUUCAUAAUGUCACUAAUGUCUAGCCUCCCCUCUUUUAAAAUCCGCAGCGUACCCCAGCAAACAACAAUAAUACAACUGAAGUUGAUGCUAGGACCACCGAGGAUAACAUUGAUGCAAGGCCAGUACUGGACAGCCAAGAAAUAAGGAACCAUGUAUCGACAAUAAUUGGUUGUGAUUGAAAAUAUAUAUACAUAUGUCGCUAAUCUCUUGCCUGCCCGCUUUUAAAUUGUGCAGCAUACCCCUCAAACCAAC